GACGGAGGAUGCAAGCGUUAUCCGGAAUUAUUGGGCGUAAAGCGUCCGUAGGCGGUUUCAAAAGUCUGUUGUUAAAGCCCACAGCUCAACUGUGGAUCGGCAAUGGAAACUGUGAGACUAGAGAGUGGUAGGGGUAGAGGGAAUUCCUAGUGUAGCGGUGAAAUGCAUAGAUAUCACAUAGAAUACCGAUUGCGAAGGCAGAUCACUAACAAUGCAUUGACACUGAUGGACGAAAGCGUGGGGAGCGAACAGG
rnacentral:rRNA from 1 species